AAUAAAUAAAAUUACAAAAAUAAAUAAGAUAACAAAAAUAAAUAAGAUAACAAAAAUAAACAUGUCUAACAUAAAUUAUAAUAAACUAACAAAAGAAGAAAAUGCAGACGAGAAAACGAAUAUUAUAAAAAAAUGUGAACUUGUUCCUAUAAUGUCUACUAAUAAAAGAAAGUUAGAAAAUAAUUAUUAUACAACAGAUAGUGAAAAUAAUAAAAAUUAUAAAAAAUGUAAUUGUAAUAAAAACAAUUUAACUGAUGAAACUGUCCCCAUGUUUAAUUUAAAUUAUUAUUAUGAAUGGAACAACAUUCCUAAUAUUUAUAAUUUACCCUAUGGUUUAAUUAAUAAAGAUAAAAAUCUUGUAUUAAAAGAUUACAUAAAUAAUAUCAUCGCAAAAUUGGCUGAUGGUAUGUUUAUAGAUGGUGAUAGUACAGUUAAAAAUGAUACAAAUAUUAUGACCAGCAAUAUGACUAGCCAUAUGACUAGUAAUAUGACUAACAAUAUGACUAACAUUAUGACCAGCAACAUGAAUAAUAUUAUGACCAGCAAUAUAAUUAAUGAAAACAAUUUUCAAAAACAAAAGGAAAUAUAUUCUAAUAAUCUUGACGUGUGUUUUCAAAAAAAUACAAAUAAUCAACUAAAAUUAAAUCCUACAAUUUGUACAGUUAUAAAAUGUACAGCCACUAACAAUAGUAAUAGUAAUAUUCAUAAAAAUAUUGAUUCUUUUGUUUCUUCUAUGAUAUAUGAUGAUAUAAUACAAUACGUAACAAAACUAAAGGAAAGAAAAGCUAAUCAAAUGGAUGUAAAAAAAAGGGUUAAACAAGAAUUAAAUAACACACCUAAAAAAUUGUGUAUUACAAGUAAAGCAGAAAGUACAAAAAAAGUUGAGUUGGUUUUUCAUAAUGUAGAACAAAAAAAAGAAGAGGAAAAAGAAGAGGGAGAAAAAAGGAGAGAAAUAGAAGAGGAAAAAAAAGAGGAAAAAAUAGAAGAAAAAACGGAUGAAAAAAUAGAAGAAAAAACGGAUGAAAAAAUAGAAGAAAAAACGGACGAA
rnacentral:lncRNA from 1 species